rnacentral:tRNA from 1 species
UUCCCCUUCGUCUAACGGUUAGGACAUUACUUUUUCACAGUAGAAAUGUGGGUUCGAUUCUCACAGGGGACA